UCCAAUUUUAAAAAAAGGUCAAGAGGACACUCUUGUUAAAUGUAAUACAGAGACAAAAAAGUAUUCCCCCUUAGACUGAAUGGCAGGAGUGAGCGUGAACAUGUAAAGACCUAUAGGAAAACGUUGGGGCUCCAAGAUCUGUCAGUGCAGCCUCUCCAGGAACGUUAAGUCUUUUUAUCUACAGUAGGGGGGAGUACAUUCAGCAUUAGUAAUAGCGGUAGACCAUGCUAUAAAGCACUUCUGGUAUAGAACCAAUUAUACUGUCAUAGUUGCCCUUGCCUCAUUUUAGUGAAACUAUUCCUCUCCAACCCAAUAAACCAAAUAAGAUAUCUGGGUAAAAUCACAGCUUUCUGGUAUUGCUCUGUCUAAAACAGGUACUUUUGCUACCUAGCUGUUUAGGUCAUGGAAUUGUAUGUCUUUACUCUCCCAACAUAGCAAUGCUGGCAGAAGUCAGUUAAGGUGGGCCUGGCCUAAGGGUGGGAUUUCCAAAAGAACCUAAGAGAAGAACCAGACUCCUAUCACAAGCCAGGAUACCAUUUGGAGGAAAUAGCAGAACUGAAAACUUGCAUCAAGAGGUAGAUCUCAGCUGAGAUACUGAGGUGCCCCUUUAAAGAUCCUUCGAUGGGUGAUAUGGCACCUGGCCCCUGUGCAAGGAGGUAAGUGCUGGCUCUGUAGCUGGUGGGAAGAGCUACAGGGGAGUCCCCAGAGGAGCAGCUGUAGCUAUGGGGGCUAUGCUGUCCCUCUAAGGGGAAAAUGCAGAAAAGAAAAAAAAAAUGAGCAGGCAUGGCAGGAUCCUGCCCUCACUUGGCACCUAUACCAAACUCUGCAUCCAGUGGCCCUUGUCACUCCCUUCCUCAUCUUGUAGGGAUAGCUACCUCCCUUAGGGGUCUAGUGACCCACCCCUGAACUCCCCAAUCUGCCACGCUGAGCAGUCCAUACCAUUGCUAAACGAGGUGAACCACCUCUGCCAUGCUCUGAAGGGUACCCUGCCCAUUGCUACUUGCCCUGCCACCCCAUGAGAUCCUUUUAAGGGUGCCACAGGGUGCGAGAAGGUGAGUGCUGCAGGAAAUAAAUUGAUUUUUGAAGGGGUGCCACUAUAUUCCAAAAAAUUAUGAAACGUGCCUCGAGUCUAAAAGGUUGAGAACCAUUGUUUUACACUGAACUCUACCGCCUUUAGAAAGAACUUUGGGCUCCUUACAUAUUUGGUUGUGAUGCUUGAUUUUGUUGAGUUUUUUGUCUUACACUGAUGUAGUAACAUUUCUGUUUUUGUAGAUGAGCACAGAAAAUGGUUCUCUGCUGGAGAAAAUGAAAGUACUUCAGAAAGCCACAGACAAUAAGUCUCCGAGGUGUUGUUUGACGUUAGCUGUCCACAAGAGUACAGAAACUCUAACAAUUUCCCAGUACAGUUCUUUUGACUGUGGAUCAGAAAGCACCCAUUGCUUUGAUAGCUGUCAUGCAGCUACAUGCAUUUCCAUGCAAUGUGUUGCUGGGACAACCUUAGUGGAGGAAGAUAUAAGCUGAAUGAAAGAAAUGUAUAACCAGCUGUAAGAACUGAGUUUGUAUUUGUUGUUAUGAAAAUAAAUGAAGGGGCCUGGAUACAAUUUUCCCACUGGAAAGUUCAUAGGGGAGUGAAACACAGCAAGGAGCUCAGCAAGUAUAGAACUAGAACAAUGACAAUUUGGUACAGCCAAUUGUGUUUAUAAAAGUCUGGGGAGAUAGGUAAAACGGUGAUUAUUUACAUGAUAAUGGUGACCAGUCCUAACAGGACUAUUUAUGUGAAAUGAAGUGGUGCACAUGUUUUGGAGCUCUUGGGAAGGACUCCUGAAACUGUUUCAGGUGUCUAGGGCCAGAGCUGUGUCCUUAGGUGUGUUUGGGCAACACUUGGCAGAAUGGGGCCUUGGUCUUUGGAGUCUCUUGAUUCCACACAACAGAAAAUGGCAAUUUGGACUUCUCCUGGGAUUCGUGAUAGGGCCAUUUGCAAGCAAAGCUCUGCUACAAUCCUAACUAUAAUUGCAAAGGUGUCAUAACAAAUAUUCAAACCAAUUUCCAUGGAAACCUCAAUUUCAUCUCUGAAUUUUAGCAUGUUUUAAGACAGCAGGAGUGGUAAAAAUCAUGUAGUGGUUGUAUGCAUGGAGAGAUGCUUAUUCUUUGCAUUAACUCUUUAUUGGCUCAAAUCUCUGUGUAUAUGAGAAAAUUAUGCAUGCAAAUUUAGAGACUUUUAAAAAAUGUUAUCUCCCCUGUAAAAUGCCUGAAUCAGAUUCACAUUUGGGUUUCCGUUCUCAUUUCCUCUCAGCAUAAAUAUGAGUCUGAGAGACACAACAGCUAAAUGAUUCCAAAGCAUAUAGCAAUUUUA